UACGUAGGGGGCGAGCGUUGUCCGGAUUCAUUGGGCGUAAAGCGCGCGUAGGCGGCCCGGCAAGUCGGCCGUGAAAUCUCCCAGCUCAACUGGGAGGGGUCGGGCGAGACUGCGGGGCUCGAGGUGGGCAGAGGGCAGUGGAAUUCCGGGUGUAGUGGUGGAAUGCGUAGAGAUCCGGAGGAACACCAGUGGCGAAGGCGGCUGCCUGGGCCUGGCCUGACGCUGAGGCGCGAAAGCGUGGGGAGCAAACAGG
rnacentral:rRNA from 1 species